rnacentral:tRNA from 1 species
UGGUAGUGAGCCAUCCGGGCGAGGGCACAUGACUGUUAAUCAUGAUGAAGAUUGGUUCGAGUCCAAUACUACCAGCCA